rnacentral:lncRNA from 1 species
CUAGUUAUGCGAAGCGACAAAAAUUCACAGAAUAAUAAUACGGAAAUAGCCUAAAUACAAUCAGUAAAAGAAACAAAGAAAAAGCUAAAUUAAAACUUCAAAGCUCCAUUCUUCAUAUGUAUUCAUGCUCUCAUAUUUUAGCUUACAAUAUCGACAAGGUUACAGCCAUGUACCUGGUAUUGGAAGCAAAAGAAGAAGAAAAUCAGCAGAGUAUAUGCAACACAACAACAACAAUAACGGAAAUAGAACAAUCCAGUAACAGAGUUUAAUAAAACCAGCAUAAUUCCAGCAACAUCCCAAGGAAAAAGUUACACAUAACCAGAUAUCCAAACUCAGAAGCAAAAAAUUGACACCCCAGAAAUACCAAUCAGCAACAGCAAUGAAGCAGUAAUAGUAACAAAUACUGAUUUCAACAGUAAAGACGCAACUUUCUUUUGUUCUUUUAC